CCGGCCUGGGUGGGAUCGCGGGCCGUUCGCGCGUCCGAGCGCACCCCCGGCCCGUCUCGCUCGCAACGUCGGGGAGGCGGCGCAAGAGCGUACACGUUGGGACCCAAAAGAUGGAGAACUAUGCCUGAGUAAGACGAAACCAGAGGAAACUCUGGUGGAGGUCCGCACCGAUUCUGACUUGCAAAUCGAUCGAUAAACUUGGGUAUGGGGGCGAAAGAC
rnacentral:rRNA from 1 species